GCUCAAGAACCUUCAGAUCCAAGAUCAUUGGUUGCGGUAUAUUUCAACCCAUGCAAGAUAUUAAGAUCCGAUCUCAAUUUAAUUUUUAGAUUAUAUGCAUGUCUUAGAUCUAGGGCUUGGAUAGAUGCAUAUUAGAUCUAUAGCAUAUGGGGUUAAAGGGUUUAAUCUAGAUCUGUUUCUACUGCUGUUUCAAAAUUUUUUAAAAUUUAUGUAUGCUAGUCUACCCGAUUUUUUAAUAG
rnacentral:lncRNA from 1 species